rnacentral:rRNA from 1 species
UACGAAGGUGGCAAGCGUUGUUCGGAUUUACUGGGCGUACAGGGAGCGUAGGCGGUUGGAUAAGCCCUCCGUGAAAUCUCCAGGCUUAACCUGGAAAGUGCAGAGGGGACUGUUCAGCUAGAGGAUGGGAGAGGAGCGCGGAAUUCCCGGUGUAGCGGUGAAAUGCGUAGAUAUCUGGAGGAACACCGGUGGCGAAGGCGGCGUUCUGGACUGUAUCUGACACUGAUAGACGAAAGCCAGGGGAGCAAACGGG